rnacentral:tRNA from 1 species
GGUGUUGCCCCAUCUGGUUGUGCUGGGCAACGUUAUAGCGUUGUUUUUUAAGGCUCUGCUAAGGGCGUAGGUCGUCUAAACAACGGCGCGAGGGUUCAAAUCCCUCCUACUCCGCCA